CUAGUUUGAAAGUUAUUGAUAGCAGCCCUGUUCUAAGCUACAAAUCUCAUGGGAGAAUACCAUAUAUGUUUGUGUAAGGUUUAAUAGUUACUGGUCUCAUGAAAGAAAAGCCAUCUUCUUCCAACAGUAUCCAUUUACAUACCUUUCCAAUCUUAAAGUAUAGUAUAUCUUACAAAAGUUUAUAUUGCUCUCCCCCCUUGGGUGACAGUGUGUGAACAGUUACUCACCUGUAUUCCCAUAUGCACCUUAUUCUUUUUAAAUACAUGUUUAUUAACUCCCAGGUAGCCUAGAGAAAUACAUCCAAGUUUUAGUAAUUGCUCAAUGAAGAUAAAAUUCAUUCUUCUCCUCUGGUAGAUCCAGCUUUGCAAGUCUUCAUUUAAUUUGCUGUAGAGCCCGUCCUUUGGUCUUGAUGGGAAGAGUAAAUGCAAAAAUGGCAUGCACAACACAGACAGCACGGCUCCAGCAGCUGCCCCUCUGGCAGGGCAGAGCAGUUCAUCUUGGCAAUGCGCUGCAGGGUGGGCAGAGCAGCCUCAGGGUUCCUGGUGGAGCACUGAACUGAGAAGACUGGGGAAUAAACUUGAAGGCCAGGAUGAGGAUGAUGCCCAGGAUGGAGGCAAUGUGGAAGAGCCGGGGCCACCCCACAGUGGGGGUGAUCACUGAGGACAAGCCAAUGAUGAGCAGUGAGCCAGCAAGCUAGAAAACCUGAGACAGGGGAGCAUGUAGCCUUGAUAUUUUGUGGGCAGAAAUAGUCUUUGUAAUUAGCCCUUGUGCGUGGCCGGACAUGCCACAGCCCACCAUGGUCCGCAGAAAGACAAACCAGAUGUAUGUGGGAGCAAAUGAACUCAGCAAGAAAUAGGCACCCCACGAGAAGGACAGGAACAAAAUCUUCCAGCAACCCUAUCUGGCAGCCAAGAGCCCAAAGAGGAGUCUGGAUCCCAUGUAGCUGAAAAACACCAUCGUGGUCACCAACACCACCUGCCAGUUCUCCAGGUGCCAUUUGCAGCAGAUGACAGGAGACACCACUGUGAUCAACAUGAUCUCCAUGGCCACAACAACAGUUCUGGAGUCUGUGAGUCCUACAUCGAGGCCCCACCAGGUUUCGCUGCUUGGCAAGGGCUAUAUCCUCUGGGAGGGAAUGGACACAGCACACCCACAGCCAAGG
rnacentral:lncRNA from 1 species